CAGUCGCCGCGGGAAUACGUAGGGUGCGAGCGUUAAUCGGAAUUACUGGGCGUAAAGCGUGCGCAGGCGGUGAUGUAAGACAGUUGUGAAAUCCCCGGGCUCAACCUGGGAACUGCAUCUGUGACUGCAUCGCUGGAGUGCGGCAGAGGGGGAUGGAAUUCCGCGUGUAGCAGUGAAAUGCGUAGAUAUGCGGAGGAACACCGAUGGCGAAGGCAAUCCCCUGGGCCUGCACUGACGCUCAUGCACGAAAGCGUGGGGAGCAAACAGGAUUAGAUACCCGCGUAGUCCCUGUCUCUUAUAC
rnacentral:rRNA from 1 species